rnacentral:rRNA from 1 species
UACGUAGGGGGCAAGCGUGUCCGGAAUCAUUGGGCGUAAAGAGCGUGUAGGCGGCCUGAUAAGUCGGCUGUGAAAGUCAAGGGCUCAACCCUUGAAUGCCGGCCGAUACUGUCAGGCUAGAGUCCGGAAGAGGCGAGUGGAAUUCCUGGUGUAGCGGUGAAAUGCGCAGAUAUCAGGAGGAACACCGGUGGCGAAGGCGGAUCUCUGGGCCUGUUCUGACGCUGAGGCGCGAAAAGCUAGGGGGAGCGAACAGG